GUCCCAUCAUUCUCAGGACAAGGUUGGUUUGAAAUCAAAUCCUGGUCUCUCCAUGCUGGAAGCAGUGACCUGAAUCAGCUGUGAACUGGCCAGUCCGAAGAUGACCUCGAGGGACCGCCCCCAGCUCCCACUGAUGAUGCCAUGGCUCCAAAGCCACCUACAUGAGCAGGACAGUCACUGGAGGAACAGAUGUGCACACAGUACAGAGAACCCUGCCAAGCCAACACCCAACCAGGGGCCUUCACUCCUGCCAUUGCUGAUGCUUAACAUCCACACUGGCCUUCAAUUCCUGGGGGAUCGAACUCGGGACCUUGCGCUUGUGAGGCCGGCGCCAGAACCACUGAGCUAAAUCCCCGGGCCAUACAGAUAAUAUCAACAAUAAAUGUGCUAGACUUUUUUUUUUUUUUUUAACCAAUGUCCACCAUCUUAACCAGCAUCCCCUUCCUGUACUCCCUUUCCUAAUGGGAGCCAGAGUUCUGGCAAAAAUAGAUACAGGGGUUACACACUCUCAACAUCAACACACUUCUGUUACUCCUUAUCCCAAGAGCUAAAUGAAGACUCUCUGGUCACCCUGCAGUCCCAAAUCAAUUCCCUGGCAGAUACUCCAAACUAGAAGAGCUCUAGAUAUAAUACCAGCAGAGAGAGGGGGAACAUGCCUCCUCCUGGGGGAAGAGUCCUGUUAUUUUGUCAAUCAGUUUGGCAUUGUUGGAGACAAGGUGAAGGAGCUCAGGAGUUUAUAGAGAAACGUAGAUGAGACCUAGACCAGCUACACUCUCUACCAGGAUACUUCAACCAGUGGCUUCCCUGGCUUCUUCCUUUCCUGGGAUCCCUCACUGUCCUCUUCAUAAUCCUACAUUUUGGACCCUGCCUGUUUCAUUGUUUUCAAAUUUUCUUGCAGGAAAGGUUGCGGGCCUUUACCAGUCAGACAGUCGGUAAACUCAUUAUGGCUGGUUAUCAACCUCUUGCCAUGGGAGACCACAUCACCAUCACGUAGGACCCAGACCUGGUACCCUUUAUCACCACCCCUGUGCCAGCAGGAAGCAGCUACAGAAAAGAGACCUCUGCCCCUAUUCCAUAAUAAUAUAAUAUGGCUCAGUGUGAAGGCCUUGGAUUCAAUCCCCCAGUACCAAAAAAAAAAAAAAAAAAAAAGCCAAUUAACUGCCACCAUGCCCCCCCCAUUCUAUUCUAAACUACAGGCAAGGUGGUCCACACCUGUGAUCCCAGCAAUCAGGAGGCUGAGGCAGGAGGAUUGCCACAAGUUUGAGGCCAGCCUGGGCUGCAUGGAUGUGGUUGGUGCAUGCCUAUAAUCCCAGCACUCAGGAGGCUGAGGCAGGAAGAUCACUGAGAGUUCAAGGCCAGCCUGAACUUACGAAUGAGACCCUGUCUCCAAAUGAAUCUUUUUUUUUUUUUUUUUGGUACCGGGGAUCGAGCUCAGGUCCUUGUGCUUUCUUUUCUUGUUUUUGGGGGGUUUUUU
rnacentral:lncRNA from 1 species